AUGGGCCCAGCAUGGCCCCCACCCUGCUGGGCUCUGCCCCUCUGCAGGGCCGACCAGACCCCACAGCAGCUCCAGCUGGCAAUGCCAAGGUGCCAAGGGAACCCUCCGUGGGCCGGGGGUGCUGCUGGGUCUGCCCACCCUGCCCCCCAAAGUUGGUGGUGCUGGGGAAAGCAUGUGCACCUCCCACCCCCAAAUCCCUCCUCAUCCCACCCCCAAUCCCUCCUCAUCCCACCCCCCAAUCCCUCCUCAUCCCACCCCCAAUCCCUCCUCAUCCCAUCCCCAAUCCCUCCUCAUCCCAUCCCCAAUCCUUCCUCAUCCCAUCCCCAAUCCCUCCUCAUCCCACACCCCAAUCCUUCCUCAUCCCAUUCCCCAAUCUCUCCUCAUCCCAUCCCCAAUCCUUCCUCAUCCCCCCCCCCAUCCCUCUGCAUCCCAUCCCCAAUUCCUCCUCAUCCCACCCCCCAAUCCUUCCUCAUCCCACCCCCCAAUUUCUCCUUAUCUCAUCCCCAAUCCUUCCUCAUCCCAUCCCCAAUCCUUCCUCAUCCCAUCCCCAAUUCCUCCUCAUCCCACCCCCCAAUCCUUCCUCACCCCAUCCCCAAUCCUUCCUCAUCGCAUCCCCAAUCCCUCCUCAUCCCACCCCCCAAUUUCUCCUUAUCCCAUCCCCAAUCCCUCCUCAUCCCAUCCCCAAUCCCUCCUCAUCCCACCCCCCAAUUUCUCCUCACCCCAUCCCCAAUUUCUCCUCAUCCCACCCCCCAAUUUCUCCUCAUCCCAUCCCCAAUCCCUCCUCAUCCCACCCCCCAAUCUUUCCUCAUCCCACCCCCCAAUUCCUCCUCAUCCCACCCCCCAAUUCCUCUUCAUCCCAUCCCCAAUCCUUCCUCACCCCAUCCCCAAUCCCUCCUCAUCCCACCCCCCAAUUUCUCCUCAUCCCACCCCCUCUCCUCUGCCGGGGCUCCAGCUCUGAGGGGGCUCGGGGGGCUCCGGCAGAGGGGUUUGGGAAGGAGGAUGCUGGACCUGGGGGAUGUUCCUGAGCCAUGGCAGCACCUUCCCAGCCAGGCCCGUUCCCGAGAGCCGCCCCCGGUGCCCGCAGCGCCCCCGGCCCGUGGGGACCCCGGCGGGCACAUGGCGGGAGCAGCCCCGGCCCCGCUCGCAGCCGGCAGAGCCGUGCGGGGAGGGAGGGAGCAGCUGGGUUGCCAUGGAGGAGAGGAAGCAGCUGAAGGAAAAACCUUUCCAGGCAGGGAGGAAUCGGUGGGGGACUCGCCAGGGGCGGGGGGAGCAUCUCGGCGCGGUUUGGAGGUGGAGGGGCCACAUCUGCCUCUCGAUUGA
rnacentral:lncRNA from 1 species